rnacentral:lncRNA from 1 species
AGGUUUCAGACAGGUGUGGGUGCUGCCUUCAGGAAGCCCCAGGGCACAGUGGCCAGGGUUCACUCUGGCCAGGUCAUUCUGACCAUCUGCGCCAGGCUGAAACAUAAGGAACAGGUGAUUGAGGCCCUUUGUAGAACCUAGUUCAAGACCCCGGGCCGCCAGAUGUUCCACACCUUAAGGAAGUAAUGCUUCAUCCAGUUGAAUGCAGAUGGAUCUGAAGGCAUAGUAAUGGAGAAGCAGCUAUGAGGUCACCUAUGCCGUCAGUCCUGCUACUCUGGACAAGUGGUGGGUCCUG